GCGUGGAGCACUGGCUCUCGGCGUGUGUGCCCAGGACAGGCGCGACCCCGCGCCCUAGAUAGCGUGGAAAGCUGGCUCACCGCGACCCCUGCGCCCCUGCUUUGCUGCCCAGCGUCGUCUCGCCCUUGCGUAGAUCGUCUCCAAGAAGCUCGCCGGAGCAGGCAGCAACGUCAGCCGCCGGCUGCCCGGUUCAUCGUGUCCGGAGCCAACCCAACCGAAUCGACAGGACCACGAGUUUCUCCACACCGAGCGGCACCUGCCCCGCCUCUCCUCAUCGCCCCUCCCCGUGGGAGCACCGCCGUCCUCGGACAGCAACGUCGGCCGCCGCAUGCCACCAAAAUCCGGCCAUCCUUAUGCUCCUCCACGCCGAAGAAACGCAAUUCGAGAGCUCUAAAGAUUAAGAGAUGUAAGAACAAGUGUUGAAGACUUUGAGCAGCUAUUCUUUGGAAUAAAGGAAGUAUAUUCGUUGAUCAUAUUUCAUCUCAAUAACCUUUAUUUAUAUUUACGCUUGUAUGCAUUAAUUUGAUGGGUCCUAUUUAUCCACAUUUGAUAUCCUUAUCCUUGAAAGCUGGGUUAUUUAAAUCAUGCUGUGUAGUUUGCUUAGUUGCUGAAUAAUGGUUGCGGGUGGUUUAUGAGCUCAAUACUUGAUAAUUGGCUUAUUUACUGGAACCACUAUGAUGAACUGAUCAUGAUGAUUAAUUUAAACUAUGGAGCUACCACCUGAAAAAACAGUGCAACCGCAAGGUAUAUGGCUCUGGUGUUGGAUAAUUAAUUUGAUGCCUCUAGCUUGUUGGUAGUUUACCAAAAGGCGCAUGGGGGCCCUCUGAUGAGGGGUUCGCUGCCUGCUAAGGGUGUACGUAUAGCUAUGGUCACGUCUCUGGGGAGGUUCCCUCACGCAACUGCUAAAACCUUAGCGGGCUACCACUGAUUAGGGAGUCUUUGUAAAGCCGUCGUAGUGAAUCUCUGCCACUCACCUCGCAAGUGUUUAAGGGCCUUGCAAAUCCGGUCAUCAACGGAUAAAUGACUUGUGGGUAAAGUGUGCAACCUCUGUAGAGUGUAAAACUGAUAUAUUAGCUAUGCUCACGGUCAAGAAUGGCUCCGACCCUCACAUGACUUAAUUAAAUGGAACUUGUAUUUUAUUCAGUUGUUUAAUGUUUUCAAGCUUCAUUUAUCUAUUUAGUUAUCUUUAUUUUUCAUAAAUAUGGGCAAUUUCACUUAUGGCUUAGUAAAUAGGUUGUUUAAUGUUUAACUGUUCAAUAAAAUACUUACAGCUUUAUUCAGCCAACCUUUAUCUUUGUUUAAGCCUUGCAUGUCAUCUAUUUUCUAAUAUAUUUGCUGAAUACCAACCAUAAGUGUACUCACACUUGCUAAAACCACUGCUCAGAAGAGAAAAUUGUUGUGAAAUUUUCUGAAGAUGUUGCUGAGUUUUAGACGUACGCAACCCCUGGUGGAUUGCCUAUGAAGUGUGGAGCCGACGUUUCCAGUAGAAGUUGUAUAUCUGUGAUAGAUUUUUUAGUUGUUGUAAGUCUUUUUUCAUGAUAUUGUUGCUCAUUAUUCCAUUAUGACGUCGCUAUAUAUAUGAAACUUAAUCGUGGUAUAAAUUAGUUAUGCAUUCAGUUUUGUAUUAAAAAUCGGGUGUGAUAGAGUGGUAUCCGAGCCGUGUCGACCGUACAACGUAAGCCUAGGUAGCAAUGGUAGUUUUCUAAUAUCUUCCUUAAUCUAAAAGUCAUUCUUAACAUUUCCUUGACCUAUGCUUUUCACCUGAUCUCUUGUUUUGGCCUAUUUAUCUCCUCCUAAACCUUAUUUUCAGUCUCUCAAUUCAUUCUAGUUCACCUCGUAGUCACCUUGAAGAAUGGAGGUACAUCAUUCUAGUUCACCUCGUAGUCACCUUGAAGAAUGGAGGUACAAGAAGUCAAGCCUAAAGAAGCUGAUCACUACUCUGGAUGAUCUCGAAGACUUGAGCAAAGGUUGCUAACAUCUGGCGGCAUAACACAUGCUUAGGAGGAUUCCUUAUGACCUUAAUAACAACGACUCGUGCCUACAGUAACAUGUUCUUUCCAUCGAUACCUCAUCAAGCUAUCUUCUCAUUCAAAUGGAAAGCAAACAUAGAAGAUUUGAAGCCAAAUAUCUCUUAGUCCCUCUCUCUACCACUAUCCUCUUCCCUUCUCAUUAGAAUCCUUUGCCCUAUUUCUUCUGCUUACCCCUAGACUUUCCGAAUCUCGGGAUGCGAUUCUAUUUAAGGGGAUAGUUUUGUCACACCCCAAAAUUCUAAUUUUGUGAUGUGAAUACUUUUUUUCAAAUUUAUUCAUCUAUCCUUUAGUUUUUGCUGAAAACUAUUCACAAUUUAUAGAGCUUAUUCCUUUUUCCUCCCGAAGAAAAGCUCCUUUCUUUUCUUUCUUCUUUCUUUUUCCUCCUCUCUCUCUUUUCCUUUCUUGUUUUUUUUCUUCGCUACGCUGGCCCAAUCUUUUUCUUUUUCUUUUUCUGGUCACCCCUCCGACGGCCCACACUCAGCCCAUGAGGCCAUCUCACCCUCCUGCCCUCUGGCGCAGCACGCCAGCGCCGCCGCCGCCAAUUUCUCGGCGUGUGUGCCCAGAGCAGGCGCGACCCCGCGCCCUAGAUAGCGUGGAGUGCUGGCUCUCCGCGACCCCUGCGCCCCUGCUUUACUACACAGCGUCGUCUCGCCCUUGCGUAGAUCGUCGCCAAGAAGCUCGCCGGAGCAGGCAGCACCGUCGGCCGCUGGCUGCCCGGUUCAUCGCGUCCGAAGCCUCCCCGACCGAAUCGACAGCACCACAAGUUUCUACACACCGAACGGCACCUGCCCCGCCUCUCCUCGUCGCCCCUCCACCGCGGGAGCGCCGGCGUCCUCGGACAGCAGCGCCGGCCGCCGCACGCCUCAAAAAUCCAGCCAUCCUCGUGGUCCUCCGCGCUGAAUAAACACAGUUUGAGAUCUCUGAAGAUUGGGAGAUGCAAGAACAAGUGUUGAAGACUUUAAGCAGCUUUUCUUUGGAAUAAAGGCAAGUAUAUUUCUUAAUCAUAUUUUAUCCUAAUAACCUUUAUUUAUAUUUACGCUUGCAUGCAUUAAUUUGAUGGGUACUACUUUAUCCAUAUUUGAUAUCCUUGUUCUUGAAUGAAAGCCAGGUUAUUUAAAUCAUGCUGGGCAGUUUGCUUAGUUGCUCAACAAUGGUCACGGAUGGUUUAUGAGCUCAAUAGUUCAUAUUUAGCUUAUUUAUUGGAACCACUAUGAUGAACUGAUCAUGAUAGUUAAUUUAAACCAUGGAGCGACCACCUGAGAAAACAGUGCAACCACAAGGACUAUGGACUAUAUGGUUCUGGUCUUCACUAAUUAAUUAGAUAUCUCUGUCUUGUUGUUAGCUUACUGAAAGGCCCACGGGGAGCCUAUGAUGAGGGGCUCACUACCUACUAAGGAUGGACGCAUGGCUAUGGUCACGUCUUCGGAGAGGUUCACUCACGCAGCUGCUGAAACCUUAGCGGGCUACCACUAGUUAGAGAGUUUUUGUAAAGAUCUCGUAGUGAAUCCCUGCCACUCACCUUGAAAGUGUUUAAGAGCCUUGCAAACUCGGGCAUCAAGGGAGACACGACUUGUGCGUAAAGUGUACAACCUCUACAAAGUGUAAAACUGAUAUAUCAACCGUGCUCACAGUCAAGAGCAGCUCGGACCCUCACAUGACUUAAUUAAAUGGAAUUUAUAUUUUAUUCAGUUGUUUAAUAUUUUCAAGCUUCAUUUAUUUACUCAGUUAUCUUUGGUUUUUAUAAAUGUGGGCAAUUUCACUAAUGUCUUAGUAAAUAGGUUAUUUAAUGUUUAACUAUUCAAUAAAAUGCUUACAGCUUUAUUCAGCCAACCUUUAUCUUGUUUAAGCCUUGCAUGUCAUCUAUUUUCUAAUAUAUUUGCUGAGUACCAAUCAUAAGUGUACUCACAGUUACUAAAAUUGCUGCUUAGAAGAGAAAGUUGCUGUGAAGUUUUCUGAAGAUGAUGCUGAGUUCUAGGCGUACACAACCCCAGAUCGAUUGCCUGUGAAGUAUGGAGCUGACGUUUCCAGUAGAAGUUGUAUAUCUCUAAUAGACUUUUUAGUCAUUGUAAGUCUCUUUUUCAUGACAUUGUUGCUUAUUAUACCAUUAUGACAUCGUUAUAUGUAUGAAAUUUGAUCCUGAUAUACAUAUAGUUAUGCAUUUGGUUUUAUAUUAA